UAAAGAUCGUUGAGGAAAGAGCUCGUUUUGAUAAGAACCCCAAGGAAUUCCGGGAGUCAUACAAGGCAGAGCAAGAAAAGCUCCAGAAUCAAAUCGACUCAGCUAGGAACGCUCUUUCUGCUGUUACAAUAGAUCAUGAUCUUCGAGUUAAAAUCUCUAAGGUCUGUGCAGAACUGAACGUCGAUGGAUUGAGAGGUGAUAUAGUCACUAACAGGGCAGCAAGAGCGUUGGCUGCACCUGCUCAUGAUCUUCGAGUUAAAAUCUCCAAGGUCUGUGCAGAACUAAAUGUCGAUGGACUUAGAGGUGAUAUAGUCACUAACAGGGCAGCACGAGCGUUGGCUGCACUAAAAGGAAGAGAUAAGGUAACUCCGGAGGAUAUUGCCACUGUCAUUCCCAACUGCUUAAGACACAGACUGAGGAAGGAUCCUUUGGAGUCUAUUGACUCGGGUGUACUUGUUGUUGAGAAAUUUUAUGAGGUUUUCGCCUAAGGAGGUAACAGAAGGCUCUCUUUGGCUCUUGGCCAAGCUGUUUUAUAGAGUAAGAUACUUAUUUUUGGCUUUAUUUUCCAUUCACAAAUCAUCUAAAGAUUUGACAUUUGUAACACUAGACUAUUGAUUAAGCUUGCCUUUGUACUGUGCUUAAGAAAUGGGGUUCAGAAUUACCUGUAACCACUUGUAUUUGGUUAUGACUGCUCUAUUUUAUGAAAUGCUUCAUUUUCUUUUCUUUAGCAGCUAUUAUAAUUCCAUUUGUUCAGUCC
rnacentral:lncRNA from 1 species